GCCCGGAUGCCAUGCAGUUGUACAUGAGUAAACCCCGCCAGAGCAGGAAUGCAGCAACGGUAGCUCAUCGUCCAACGUGCCGUGGUCUAUCCGGGCUUU
rnacentral:SRP_RNA from 1 species